rnacentral:rRNA from 1 species
AAACUCUGAAAGACGGUUUCGGCUGUCACUGUAGGAUGGGCCCGCGGCGCAUUAGCUAGUUGGUGGGGUAAUGGCCUACCAAGGCAACGAUGCGUAGCCGACCUGAGAGGGUGAUCGGCCACACUGGGACUGAGACACGGCCCAGACUCCUACGGGAGGCAGCAGUAGGGAAUCUUCCACAAUGGACGAAAGUCUGAUGGAGCAAUGCCGCGUGAGCGAAGAAGGUUUUCGGAUCGUAAAGCUCUGUUGUAAGGGAAGAACACGUACGGGAGUAACUGCCCGUGCCAUGACGGUACCUUAUUAGAAAGCCACGGCUAACUACGUGCCAGCAGCCGCGGUAAUACGUAGGUGGCAAGCGUUGUCCGGAAUUAUUGGGCGUAAAGCGCGCGCAGGCGGUUCUUUAAGUCUGAUGUGAAAGCCCACGGCUCAACCGUGGAGGGUCAUUGGAAACUGGAGAACUUGAGUACAGAAGAGGAAAGCGGAAUUCCACGUGUAGCGGUGAAAUGCGUAGAGAUGUGGAGGAACACCAGU